GGAUACGGUUAACGGAGCGAAAGCGACGUUCAACCGCAAAACAAGCAGAGGGGGCUUAGUGGUGGGGUGACUGCGUACCUUUUGUAUAAUGGGUCAGCGACUUAUAUUCUGUAGCAAGGUUAACCGAAUAGGGGAGCCGGAGGGAAACCGAGUCUUAAUUGGGCGUUAAGUUGCAGGGUAUAGACCCGAAACCCGGUGAUCUAGCCAUGGGCAGGUUGAAGGUUGGGUAACACUAACUGGAGGACCGAACCGACUAAUGUUGAAAAAUUAGCGGAUGACCUGUGGCUGGGGGUGAAAGGCCAAUCAAACCGGGAGAUAGCUGGUUCUCCCCGAAAGCUAUUUAGGUAGCGCCUCGUGAAUUCAUCUCCGGGGGUAGAGCACUGUUUCGGCUAGGGGGCCAUCCCGGCUUACCAACCCGAUGCAAACUGCGAAUACCGGAGAAUGUUAUCACGGGAGACACACGGCGGGUGCUAACGUCCGUCGUGAAGAGGGAAACAACCCAGACCGCCAGCUAAGGUCCCAAAGUCAUGGUUAAGUGGGAAACGAUGUGGGAAGGCCCAGACAGCCAGGAUGUUGGCUUAGAAGCAGCCAUCAUUUAAAGAAAGCGUAAUAGCUCACUGGUCGAGUCGGCCUGCGCGGAAGAUGUAACGGGGCUAAACCAU
rnacentral:rRNA from 1 species